UUUUAAACAGGAAAAACCUCAGCAUGUAAGCAAAGCAGACUGGACUUGAACAGAUACGGAAUGCAAAGCACACAGAAGAGUCAUGGGGGUCCUGAAGAGGGAUUAGAAGUUGUUAUGCGAUGAACAACAUUGCAUUGGAGACAGAAUGGAUUAAAUUAAACAGUAGUGAAUAUCACUUGGCUGAAGUGACAGGAGUAAAGAACAGAAUGCAUCCACUCCUCCAGUCUCAUUAAGCUGCCUCUUUCUCCUGAAAUUAGAUUGGGAUUCCAGGACACCUCUCAACCUACAGGAAACACUGGAUCUAAAGCUGAAACAGGCUUUUAAAAAGAUUUGCACAAUACAUCCUUCAUAUUGUUAUUUUUAUCUCUGUAAGUUUGUAAUGGCCUCUAAAAAAAAAAAAGCUGUGUAACAAGAGCAUCAGAUGUUACUUUGCUCACUGUUGAAGGCUGUGAAGAACAGAGGAAAACUAGGAAGAAAACCAAGCUGGGAAGGGCAAUGAAGGAAUGAGUUAGAGUUCAAAAGUAAAAGUAUGUUCCAUAUAAAAGAAAGAGUUCAGAGAGAAGUCUCCCUCUGUCACCCAGGCUGGAGUGCAGUGGCAUGAGCUUGACUCACUGCA